UAAAAUGUUGAAGUUGAACUCCACUAAUCUUCCCACUGUAAAUCUUGAGCUGUUGUCUAGGAGAAUUUGCAAAAAAAGGAGAGUUUAAGGCAGGUUUUGGGCCAGAUUUGAGUUGAUCCAUUGGUAAUUAAUUUAGUGCAAUGUGAAAAACAAAAUUUGGAAACAGAGGAAGAAAUUGGUGCACCUAAAAACUCCAUGGAAG
rnacentral:lncRNA from 1 species